rnacentral:lncRNA from 1 species
AUGGCAUUUGUGAUGGUGAAUGACCUUGCCCGUCACUUCAACCUUAAAGGGCGCCAUGGCAAAUGCUCAUUCAGUAGCCUACGUCUUUUUUAUAUUGUGCAUGGUAAAGACAUUUCAACAUUUACAACGUCAAUUAAAGUUUUGGGAAAUGGUAGCCUGAAGCAAAACUCUCUGCUAAAACAUGUUAACAAAAAGAAGUUGAGACAGCCCUUGGCAAAUGGUUCGUCAACGCCAGGGAUGGCAACCGUGCCUUGCGAGCCCAGCGAGACCUUGAACAGAGGUCAGUACAGUCAGUUUCUGUUAAAUUUGUGUUUCUGCAAGUUAAACCACACUGCUGUUUCUCCAUUUUAAUUUCAGGUUAUCUCAGCAGCUGCUCAAUCUUAGUUGGUUGCUAGUUGACUUGACAGUUGUUUAUCGAACUUUAUACUAUGGGGGCGUAGAAUGCUUGAAUCUGAUUGGCUGACGAACGUUCUAAGAUGUGGAAUUAUUUUCAGGGAAAUGCACGGCGAACAUACAGGUGCAUCUCAAUAAAUUAGAAUGUCAUGGAAAAGUUCAUUUUUUUCACUAAUUCAACUCAAAUUGUGAAACGUGUGUAUUAAAUAAAUUCAGUGCACACAGACUGAAGUAGUUUAAGUCUUUGGUUCUUUUAAUUGUGAUGAUUUUGGCUCACAUUUAACAAAAACCCACCAAUUCACAAUUCAUCAAUUCAACAAAUUAGAAUACUUCAUAAGACCAAUAAUAAAAAAAUAAUAAUAAAAAGAAAUAGUGAAUUGUUGGCCUUCUGGAAAGUAUGUUCAUUUACUGUACAUGUACUCAAUACUUGGCAGGGGCUCCUUUUGCUUUAAUUACUGCCUCAAUUCGGCGUGGCAUGAAGGUGAUCAGUUUGUGGCACUACUGAGGUGGUAUGGAAGCCCAGGUUUCUUUAACAGUGGCCUUCAGCUCAUCUGCAUUUUUUGGUCUCUUGUUUCUCAUUUUCCUCUUGACAAUACCCCAUAGAUUCUCUCUGGGAUUCAGGUCUGGUGAGUUUGCUUGCCAGUCAAGCACACCAACACCAUGGUCAUUUAACCAACUUUUGGUGCUUUUGGCAGUGUGGGCAGGUGCCAAAUUCUGCCCACACUGAAAAUGAAAUCAGUAUCAUCAAAAAGCUGGUCAGCAAAAGGAAGCAUGAAGUGCUCCAAAAUUUCUUGGUAAACGGGUGCAGUGACUUUGGUUUUCAAAAAACACAAUGGACCAACACCAGCAGAUGACAUUGCACCCCAAAUCAUCACAGACUUGAUGCCACAACACAAAGCGGAUUAUUUUCUAAUAAUCCAACAGCCCAUCGUCAAUUAUUCCUUAGUUAUGGAGCAGUUAAACGUUUCCUAACCAGACUUAACCUGUAUAUACCUGUAUAUAACAAUUUUUCCUGUAACAACUGAACAGCACCACUUUUAACUUGUGCUAUAGUAUAGUAUUCCCUAUAGUAGCAGAUAUUGCUUUAAGUGAGAGUUUUGUUAUUUGGAGAGAAAUUUCAAAAUUUAUAGAACUGGCAUGGCUUAAUCAUAAUCAUGCAUGCUUUUUAAGAUAAUAUAUCUGUUAUUGUUUUAAUAGUAUUUUAAAGUAAUUGUCUUUUCUGUCUUUUUUUUUUCAUUACUGUUCUUUAGGAGUGAAACCGAGGGGUCUGCCCAAACCCAGGAGUGAUCUUCAUCCACAGUAUUUUUUUUUUCUUUUAUCCUGCUUAAUUUUUAAAAUGUCUUUGUAUAAUCAAUAAAAAGAUGAAUUGCAUAUUCUGAGUUGAAAGUCAUUUUUAUUGACAGUAGAAAUAUUUUGUCAUGUAACUUAAAAAUAUAUUAGGUCAGGUACAGGUUUACUAAAAUAUUGCAACAAGGUUGACAAGGUUUAAAAUUUUAUUUUGCAUAGUAGCGCAUUAAAUUAA